rnacentral:rRNA from 1 species
GAAACCUGCCCAAUGGUUAUAAGAAAUUUUUCAUAAAUUAAAAAAAAUUAAAAAACUAAAUGGCUGCAGUAACUAUGACUGUAUGAAUGUAGCAUAAUAAUUCGCCACUUAAUUAGUGGAUAGUAUGAAUGGUUAAACGAAAAUUUCUCUGUCUUAUAAAAUAAAAAAAAAAUUUAAAUCAUAGUUAAGAUGCUAUGUAAUAUUGUAAGACGAAAAGACCCUAUAAAGCUUAACUACAAUUCUUUAUAUAAAUAUAUUAAAAAAUAUAAAAAAAUUAAUAAAGAAAGGCUAGUUUCAUUGGGGCGAUGAUCUCUAAAAAAAAACAGAGACACACUAAAUUAAUAAGGAAAAAAUUAAUUAACUGUUUAAUUAAUCAAUUUAACAGUUACAAAGUAGGGUAUAAUGACCCAUUAUUAUCUUAAAAAAGAAAUAAUGAUUAAUAAAUAAAAGCUACUUUAGGGAUAACAGGAUAAUAUUUUCCUAGAGUUCAUAUCGAAGAAAAAGUUUAUCACCUCGAUGUUGAAUUAAGAUAACCUAAUGGCGCAGC